rnacentral:rRNA from 1 species
AACGUAGGGUGCAAGCGUUGUCCGGAAUUAUUGGGCGUAAAGAGCUCGUAGGCGGCUUGUCGCGUCGGCUGUGAAAACCUGGGGCUCAACCCCGGGCCUGCAGCCGAUACGGGCAAGCUAGAAUUCGGUAGGGGAGACUGGAAUUCCUGGUGUAGCGGUGAAAUGCGCAGAUAUCAGGAAGAACACCCGUGGCGAAGGCGGCUCUCUGGGACGGUACUGACGCUGAGACGCGAAAGCGUGGGGAGCGAACAGG